CCAGCGCUGAUACUCAUACUGAUACCGCUGAUACCACACGUUCAUUCCCCCGACCGUCAUAUACUGUUUUCAGGCAUCUGAAAUCCAAAGUAACGUUACAUUUCCAAGAACGGCUACAGGAGGUAGCACCAGCUUCCGAGAAGCAAAAGAAACUUGGAGAAGGAGGAAAUAUUUGAAACAAACUAGAAUAAACUGGCACUCUCUGAGUACUUUGAUACAGAUCCAUUGCUGCCUCCUCUUCUACGCACGCACAGCAGUAAGCUGGAAUAGAGCACUGAGGUACCAAGUAUGGUAUCAUUCGUAUGUCUGAGCUGCCAAUGCAGGUUUGCUUCUAAGCGCAACCUUCAGAGACACGCGAGGAUAUGUGGAACUCAAAAUACCUGCAGCAGAAGGUACAAUUGGCAAUGCCCAGUACCAAAAUGCAACCUUGCAUUUUACCAUGCAACUAACCUAGCAGAACAUACAGUGCAUUGUCAUGAUGGGCUGCAGGUUCAAACAGAGACACACCAUUUCGACUCUUAUGCCAGCUUUCAACAAUGGAAGGAAGGUGUGCAAGAUGCGUGUGGCUAUGGUUAUAUUAUGCAGUCUGUCAAAAAGCAUGCUGCUUCCCUGAAGCCAGAAGCUUCGGAAGGGCCUAUCGCUUCCCUGAAGCCAGAAGCUUCAGAAGGCCAGAUCGCUUCCCUGAAGCCAGAAGCUUCAGAAGGCCAGAUCGUUUCCCUGAAGCCAGAAGCUUCAGAAGGCCAGAUCGUUUCCCUGAAGCCAGAAGCUUCAGAAGGGCAGAUCGUUUCCCUGAAGCCACAAGCUUCAGAAGGGCUUCUCAUUCAGCAGCGCCAUGAGCAUCAUAUUUGCCAAACACAAGCUUAUGUCCGAGAGCGAAAAACCAUGCGGAGGAAUGCCAAGGGAGUCGUUGCCACCGGUAUUCCCUGUACGUCUAGGAUGAAUGUGACGGUGAAGAGAAAUGGGCAAGUCAGUGUAAACUACAUUGCGACACACAGUCACGAGCUGCAGGAAAACGCCCCUCGUUGCCGCAAAUCACAUGCAGUGUAGAGAUGGGUGAAGACCCAACUUGCUCAGGGUGUUACUCCUACAGUAGUCUUCGAAAAAGUAACUCUGCCAGUGUCAUCACUCGGGGUGAGACAAGCAGUGUCACGCCGUGACAAACGUGUGUACAAAAGAGCAGCAAACAACCCUGAUGAAUUGUGCCAAUUCGGUUUGUGUGUGUGGACUACAUUCACGGGACUAACAGGUACCAGUAUCCCCUACUGAACAUUGCUGUACUCGAUGAGAGGGGAAAAGGGUACCCUGUAGCGCGCUUCAUUUACAAUAAAAUGUCAACAGAUA